rfam:Deltaproteobacteria bacterium RIFCSPLOWO2_02_44_9 rifcsplowo2_02_sub10_scaffold_1132, whole genome shotgun sequence.
GGGGCGGUAGCUCAGUUGGGAGAGCAUCUCGUUCGCAACGAGAAGGUCGGCGGUUCGAUCCCGCUCCGCUCCA